UACGGAGGGUGCAAGCGUUAUCCGGAUUCACUGGGUUUAAAGGGUGUGUAGGCGGGUAUUUAAGUCAGUGGUGAAAUCUCCAGGCUCAACCUGGAAACUGCCAUUGAUACUAUUUACCUUGAAUUCUGUUGAGGUGGGCGGAAUACAUCAUGUAGCGGUGAAAUGCUUAGAUAUCGAGAGGAACACCAGUGGCGAAGGCGAGUCCCUGGACAACACCUGACACUGAGGCACGAAAGCUAGGGGAGCAAACAGG
rnacentral:rRNA from 1 species